AUCGCUUUUGGCCUUUUGGCUUAGAUCAAGUGUAGUAUCUGUUCUAAUCAGUUUAAUAUAUUCCAUACUCCCCGGCACCUCCCUUUCUGCCCCAAACAUCCCUCUUUCCCUUCCCCCCCAUACCGAUGAUUUGGGUUGAGUUUCUGUCAUUUGCACCAAAAAAAGAAUCCUCUUUGGAACUCAACUCACU